AUGUUGUUGUCCAAGUAUGCCAACCAAGCAGCCGGUUCUAGCUCAAACCGGUCAUCAAAUUUGAAGCGCUCAAGGUCACCUCCUCGGGAAGAAUUUCAACAUCAUGCAAGGCCAUAUGGGUCAUGGGCACCGGGACCAUGGAUGGCGCCACCCCCCUAUGCGCCAUACUACAUGGGAGGUUUCAAUGGAGGAUGGGGGCAGCCCCCAAUGGCCCCUUAUGCUUUUCAUCCGGGGUGGGCAGAACUAAGGAGGCCAAUUCGUGAGAGGCUCUCUUAUCCCACAAGAGGCCAUUUGUACAACGGUGUCAAUCGGCCAAUGCAAGAUAAUCAUGGAAGGGUUGGCAAGCAAGUGUGGCAUGCUAAAUCACCAAGUGCUGAAAUUUCAGAGCCUAGCAAGCAAAAGGAGAAGAAUACUAGUGUUGAAACUAUUAUGAUAGGCACUAAAGAGUUAACAAUCAAAGAGCUGAUUAUUGUUGAUAAUCCGGUUGAUUCUAAUAAAGAUGUGGCUGUUUUCCAGCAGGGUACCAUGGCUAAUGAUCAUGAAGCUAGCACAAGCAAGGCCAAGUCGAGGGAUCCAAAAUAUACUCAACCUAAGUGGUGUCCUUCCGGUCUAACCAAGGCGCAAAAAGGAGAUUGCAGUGCACGAGGAGUCAUGAGAAGGAGGAACAAGAAGCAGAAAAACUAA
rnacentral:rRNA from 1 species